GUGCAUAAUAGCAAGUUAUUACAGAGAUAGAAUCACUUUAAGUUUCUAGACAGUGGAAGCAUUCCCAAAAUCCAUUACUGCCUGAUUGAAUUACUCAGAUUUUGGUGAAAGUUCUAAGACAUAUCCAUGCAAUGAAUGUCAAAGGACAACGUUCCUCGCAGGGCUUUGGAAGCACAGAAGGAAAAGGUGACGCUCCUGGGAAAGGUAUCUUUAAUGACAAUGUUGUGGCAAAACAGUCGACUCUUGUAUCUUUCCUCUGCCACAUGAGUAAAAGGAUUUGGAGUGAAGUACAAUGAAUGCCAAUGUGACUUGAGAAGGCUUUGAAAGGAGCUUGCCCUUCAGCCUUGUUGAAGUUGAACCCAUCCAGUGUGAGUUAAGAUGUUGUUCUAUAUGUUCUUGUGCCUUCCAUUUUGAAAGAGCCGUGGCAUCCUUGAUCUUCCAUUCCUUCUAGGUGAGAAUAAACAGCACUGAAAAAACAUUUUUCAUUCAGGGCAGAGGAAGGCAACUGCGCUAUUCAUCUGGUAUGCUUUGUUGCUGUUUAGUUCAUUCUAAACAACCGUCAUUCUACAAUGCUUCUUUUGUGUUGGCAUUUUCAGCAACUUGACCUUGACUUAGAUCUUCUUUGGAACAUGACUGUUUUUUGAUCUUGUUUUGUGUCUGUGGCUCUCAAGUGAUGCUCUUCAAGCUGUUUUGCAUUUAAUGAAAAUGUAUGGUCCAUUUAUUGCAUGGCAA